rnacentral:rRNA from 1 species
UGAGGAAUAUUGGUCAAUGGGGGCAACCCUGAACCAGCCAAGUCGCGUGAAGGAUGAAGGUCUUAUGGAUUGUAAACUUCUUUUACACGGGAAUAAAGCGGGGGACGUGUCCCUCUUUGCAUGUACCGUGUGAAUAAGGAUCGGCUAACUCCGUGCCAGCAGCCGCGGUAAUACGGAGGAUCCGAGCGUUCUCCGGAUUUAUUGGGUUUAAAGGGUGCGCAGGCGGGAUGUUAAGUCGGCGGUGAAAUUUUGCAGCUCAACUGUAAAAGUGCCUUCGAUACUGGCCUUCUUGAGUGUGGAUGAAGUAGGCGGAAUUUGUGGUGUAGCGGUGAAAUGCUUAGAUAUCACGAGGAACUCCGAUUGCGCAGGCAGCUUACUAAGCCACAACUGACGCUCAUGCACGAAGGCGUGGGGAUCAAACA